CUUCCAAAUUUUGCAAAUUUUGUAUACUUUUGUAUUGCAAUUUUCGCAUGCAAUACAAAAGUAUACAAAAUUUGCACACUUUACAAGGCUAU